CAGACUGUCGAAGCAAAAACUCAUGGAUAGAGAUGCCACUGAGGAAACUCAACAGGAAUAUAGAUUAUUUAACAACGGAUAUUGAAAGUCACAGCACUGAACUGGAAAAGAUUCAGUCCCAGUUUAAAUCUUUCAAAGGAGAUUGGUUGGUACAGUCAAAACCUUACAGCAACAGCACACCACAGAGAGUGUUUUAGUAGCCAGCGUUGAAGCACUACAGAUAGCAAGCGAACUGGACAAUUCAAAAGAAUAUAUAGAAAGUGCACAGGACAAAUUUAAGAUAGCGAUUGAAAGCCAUCGAUGCUCAUUAGACACAGCAAAAGCAGCUGUUGAACAGUUGCUUAUAUCAGAAGGCAUUUGAAGACAAGGACCCGAAAGAAAAUUGGCCGUUAUCUAUAUGUUUUGAUUUUUAUAUGAAAAUAG